UGAACGCUGGCGGCAGGCCUAACACAUGCAAGUCGAGCGGUAGCACAGAGAGCUUGCUCUCGGGUGACGAGCGGCGGACGGGUGAGUAAUGUCUGGGAAACUGCCUGAUGGAGGGGGAUAACUACUGGAAACGGUAGCUAAUACCGCAUAACGUCGCAAGACCAAAGUGGGGGACCUUCGGGCCUCAUGCCAUCAGAUGUGCCCAGAUGGGAUUAGCUAGUAGGUGGGGUAACGGCUCACCUAGGCGACGAUCCCUAGCUGGUCUGAGAGGAUGACCAGCCACACUGGAACUGAGACACGGUCCAGACUCCUACGGGAGGCAGCAGUGGGGAAUAUUGCACAAUGGGCGCAAGCCUGAUGCAGCCAUGCCGCGUGUGUGAAGAAGGCCUUCGGGUUGUAAAGCACUUUCAGCGGGGAGGAAGGCGWUAAGGUUAAUAACCUUGKCGAUUGACGUUACCCGCAGAAGAAGCACCGGCUAACUCCGUGCCAGCAGCCGCGGUAAUACGGAGGGUGCAAGCGUUAAUCGGAAUUACUGGGCGUAAAGCGCACGCAGGCGGUCUGUCAAGUCGGAUGUGAAAUCCCCGGGCUCAACCUGGGAACUGCAUUCGAAACUGGCAGGCUAGAGUCUUGUAGAGGGGGGUAGAAUUCCAGGUGUAGCGGUGAAAUGCGUAGAGAUCUGGAGGAAUACCGGUGGCGAAGGCGGCCCCCUGGACAAAGACUGACGCUCAGGUGCGAAAGCGUGGGGAGCAAACAGGAUUAGAUACCCUGGUAGUCCACGCCGUAAACGAUGUCGAUUUGGAGGUUGUGCCCUUGAGGCGUGGCUUCCGGAGCUAACGCGUUAAAUCGACCGCCUGGGGAGUACGGCCGCAAGGUUAAAACUCAAAUGAAUUGACGGGGGCCCGCACAAGCGGUGGAGCAUGUGGUUUAAUUCGAUGCAACGCGAAGAACCUUACCUGGUCUUGACAUCCACAGAACUUUCCAGAGAUGGAUUGGUGCCUUCGGGAACUGUGAGACAGGUGCUGCAUGGCUGUCGUCAGCUCGUGUUGUGAAAUGUUGGGUUAAGUCCCGCAACGAGCGCAACCCUUAUCCUUUGUUGCCAGCGGUUMGGCCGGGAACUCAAAGGAGACUGCCAGUGAUAAACUGGAGGAAGGUGGGGAUGACGUCAAGUCAUCAUGGCCCUUACGACCAGGGCUACACACGUGCUACAAUGGCAUAUACAAAGAGAAGCGACCUCGCGAGAGCAAGCGGACCUCAUAAAGUAUGUCGUAGUCCGGAUUGGAGUCUGCAACUCGACUCCAUGAAGUCGGAAUCGCUAGUAAUCGUAGAUCAGAAUGCUACGGUGAAUACGUUCCCGGGCCUUGUACACACCGCCCGUCACACCAUGGGAGUGGGUUGCAAAAGAAGUAGGUAGCUUAACCUUCGGGAGGGCGCUUACCACUUUGUGAUUCAUGACUGGGGUGAAGUCGUAACAAG
rnacentral:rRNA from 1 species